CUCAAAACUAUGCUGGCUCUGGCAAUUUGUACAUCAAUUUCAUCAUCUGUGUAUACAUCACUUACCAAGGCAUCUCCAAGAUUGCUGAAAACAUUCUGAAAAAGCAUGGAAGCAAGCAUCCAGCCCAGUUUCCCUCCAAUGGUGAAUGAGAAAGAAGAAGAGCAUUGUGCAUUACUCAGAAACCAGGUUGUUCCAGAAAUUUAGCAUACUGAAUUGAUAGAAGCAGGAAGGAAAUCAAUAUUCAAAAUUGUCCCAGG